AGAACAUUCUCCUAUUUAAUGAGGUUUUACAAAUUGUUUCUAAGGUUCCUACAACUCCUCCGGUGUGUCAACUGAACAAAUCCCUUUCUUCUUUUUAAGUUCUGUAUUUAAAGAUACAUUUAAUCUUCCUGUUAAAAUAUUUCCUAUUUCCUCAUAAAAUUACAGAACUAAGAUUUUCAUCUAGCUCUACUGCUCUGACUCAAACUCUUGCUGUAAUCUUCUUCAGAUCACCAGAGGUUGAUGCGUGCAGAUCAAAAAGAAAUAUUUAUGAUCACUGGUGUUUCCUUUAGAAACACCCCCAACCCUCACAAGCUCACGGAAUGAGAUCCAAUGGCUCCAAGUCAAAGCCAGGCAAUUCCAGAUGCCCAAGAAAAGCCACUUGCUCCUGCAUGGCUUGGAGCAGACAAUCCUAGGGCAUGGGGACAUUCCAGCAUUGAGCUCAGCACCAGCACUCAAACACACCAGAACUGAAACCAAGCAACUGUAGGCACUGAAAUCCCUCUGCAGGUCUGGGACAAAGGCCUGUGUGGGAAAACCAGUCCUGUCUCAUCUGUCAGCUUCACUGAGCCAGGCCCUGCACAUUAUCUCUGCCAUGGCUUGUAGUGCCUAAUCACUACCAGGCUACGUACAACCCAGCACAUCCUUUAAUCACAGCAGCAAUCGUAAGAAAUUAAAAUAAAUUUAUACAUGUAAUAAUCA